GCCGAAAGCUCUUCAUAGAGAUGCUUUGAGUUACUGCAUCUCUAUGUGGUGAUGCUGAUUGGUGCAGCAUGGAAAUUGCCUCACGUGCACUCACCCCCCAAUGCUUCCCUAGAGUCAAUGCAUAUCUAUGUGGUGAUGCACAUGCACACUAGCCCCCCAAUGUUUCCCCUUUGAGGAAGCUUUGGAUUGGCUGCGAUCAUUAGUAUUGAUCACAACAAGACCAGCUCCAGG